UUCUAUUAACAUAAUUAAUAGUAAAAUCUGCUCAAUGAUUUAAAUAGCCGCAAUUAGUGCUAAGGUAGCAUAAUCAUUCGUCUUCUAAAUAAAGACUAGUACAAACGAUUUAACAUUUCAAUAGAUUUUUUUAAUAUAGCAUUUAAAUUAUUUUUAAUAUAAAAAAAUAUUAAUAUAAAAGAAAGACGAUAAGACCCUAUUGAACUUAACUGAAGUUAAACUGGGGCAGUUAAUUAAUUAUUACUUUAAUUAAAUAAUUUCAUAAACUGAUCUAGUAUAACUAACUAUUUAAUUAAGUUACCAUAGGGAUAACAGUGUAAUAGAUAUUAUAAGGUCAUAUAUUAAUUAAAGAUUACAACCUCGAUGUUGAAUAAUUACCUAAUUUUAGCGCAAGAGCUAAUACAGGAAGUCUGUUCGACUUUUAAAAAAUUACA
rnacentral:rRNA from 1 species